rnacentral:rRNA from 1 species
GAUGAACGCUGGCGGCGUGCCUAAUACAUGCAAGUCGAGCGAACGGGCGAGAAGCUUGCUUCUCUGAUGUUAGCGGCGGACGGGUGAGUAACACGUGGAUAACCUACCUAUAAGACUGGGAUAACUUCGGGAAACCGGAGCUAAUACCGGAUGAUAUUUUGAACCGCAUGGUUCAAAAGUGAAAGACGGUCUUGCUGUCACUUAUAGAUGGAUCCGCGCUGCAUUAGCUAGUUGGUAAGGUAACAGCUUACCAAGGCAACGAUGCAUAGCCGACCUGAGAGGGUGAUCGGCCACACUGGAACUGAGACACGGUCCAGACUCCUACGGGAGGCAGCAGUAGGGAAUCUUCCGCAAUGGGCGAAAGCCUGACGGAGCAACGCCGCGUGAGUGAUGAAGGUCUUCGGAUCGUAAAACUCUGUUAUUAGGGAAGAACAUAUGUGUAAGUAACUGUGCACAUCUUGACGGUACCUAAUCAGAAAGCCACGGCUAACUACGUG